AACGCGAAGAACCUUACCAACCUUUGACAUCCCGAUCGCGGACACCAGAGAUGGAGUCCUUCAGUUCGGCUGGAUCGGAGACAGGUGCUGCAUGGCUGUCGUCAGCUCGUGUCGUGAGAUGUUGGGUUAAGUCCCGCAACGAGCGCAACCCUCGCCCUUAGUUGCCAUCAUUUAGUUGGGCACUCUAAGGGGACUGCCGGUGAUAAGCCGCGAGGAAGGUGGGGAUGACGUCAAGUCCUCAUGGCCCUUACAGGUUGGGCUACACACGUGCUACAAUGGCGGUGACAGUGGGACGCAAAGGGGCAACCCUGUGCAAAUCUCAAAAAGCCGUCUCAGUUCGGAUUGUGCUCUGCAACUCGAGCACAUGAAGUUGGAAUCGCUAGUAAUCGCAGAUCAGCACGCUGCGGUGAAUACGUUCCCGGGCCUUGUACACACCGAGACGUA
rnacentral:rRNA from 1 species